rnacentral:lncRNA from 1 species
CACAUGGGGAUUCAAUCCUUCCUUUCCUAUAUCCUAUUCAAAUGAUGCGCAGCAAAUCAACAACUGCUUAGCACAAUCCUUCACUAGAUCAUAAGUUGCAGACCUUUUUUUCUUCUUCUUCUUUUCUUUCAACUUUUCUCCUCUUUAUUUCUUUUUAAGAUACAUCACUAACCUUCAAAUCCCGGUCAGUCGAUGUAAAAGCCUUUUGGGUAUCAGCUCAGUAGACUUCUAUUUCAGGAAAAAUAAUAACUAAAAUGGUUGCAGUCAAAGCUUUUUAAAUUCCACUAAAGGGAAGUUUAUGUACUCUAGAUAAAGCUAACCUCUUUCGAGAGAUCUCCAACAGGCCAGAUAUGAUGGAGGUGGCCAGAGAAGUCCGGCUAAUCGAGAGAUCAGCUCGCCCUCGUUAGCUCCACCAUGGUUUAAUGGUGUCAAAAUUGGGUUGUUAUGAGGUGAAAAUGCAAAAUGAGCAAAAAGACCAAUUUGAUGACGAUUCUGUAAUAUAAACAUAACUUGAUCCUUGUCAUUAACAUAAUAGCACAACUGUACAAUGGUAAGUGGUAUUACUCAAGCAUAUUUUCUUUGAUACACCGCUCAGAUGUAGAAUUGUCUGGGUUUUAGUACAUUUUUACAUGACGGCCCACCUAGGUUCCACUUAUAACUACCAAACUCUUUAUAUAAGUACUGAUUGAGAAUAUAAAAAAAAUUCCCAGAACCCCUUAAGUAAUAGACUCAACAUCAACAGAUACAGUCAUGAGUCCUCAAUAUGGUGAUCUGUCUCAUCAAAGAUCUCCUCCUGCAUGGUGAAGAAUCAAUGUUAAAAAUUGAGGUCUACUACAAAAAUGAUGAUAUUAUGUCAAACAUGAAACUUGAUGUAAUAUACCUGUAAAAGCUCUUCAAUGACAUCUUCCAUUGUUAUUAUUCCAACAGCUUCUUCUUCUUCCAGGAGUUUUGGAAGAGGACCUCCAUCUAUCUGCAAGAUGUCCGAGUACAUGUCCUUCGUCCACUUCUUACCCCUUGAACUACCCU